UCAUGGGGGAGGCGGGUCUUUCUCCGUCAUGGGGGAGGCGGGUCUUUCUCUGUCAUGGGGGAGGCGGGUCUUUCUCUGUCAUGGGGGAGGCGGGUCUUUCUCUCUCAUGGGGGAGGCGGGUCUUUCUCUCUCAUGGGGGAGGCGGGUCUUUCUCUGCCAUGGGGGAGGCGGGUCUUUCUCUGUCAUGGGGGAGGCGGGUCUUGCUCUGUCAUGGGGGAGGCGGGUCUUUCUCUGCCUUCAGGGAGGCGGGUCUUUCUCUGCCAUGGGGGAGACGGGUCUUUCCCUGCCUUCAGGGAGGCGGGUCUUUCUCUGCCUUCAGGGAGGCGGGUCUUUCUCUGCCAUGGGGGAGGCGGGUCUUUCUCUGCCAUGGGGGAGGCGGGUCUUUCUCUGUCACGGGGGAGGCGGGUCUUUCUCUGUCACGUGGGAGGCGGGUCCUUCUCUGCCUUGAGGGAGGCGGGUCUUUCUCUGCCUUGAGGGAGGUGGGUCUUUCUCUCUCAUGGGGGAGGCGGGUCUUUCUCUGUCAUGGAGGAGGCGGGUCUUUCUCAUGGGGGAGGCGGGUCUUUCUCCAUCACAGGGGAGGCGGGUCUUUCUCUGUCGUGGGGGAGGCGGGUCUUUCUCUGCCGUGGGGGAGGCGGGUCUUUCUCCGUCACGGGGGAGGCGGGUCUUUCUCCGUCAUGGGGGAGGCGGGUCUUUCUCCGUCACGGGGGAGGCGGGUCUUUCUCUGUCACCGGGGAGGCGGGUCUUUCUCUGUCAUGGGGGAGGCGGGUCUUUCUCUGCCUUGAGGGAGGCUGGUCUUUCUCUGCCUUGAGGGAGGCGGGUCUUUCUCUGCCUUGAGGGAGGCGGGUCUUUCUCUGCCUUGAGGGAGGCGGGUCUUUCUCUGCCUUGAGGGAGGCGGGUCUUUCUCUGUCAUAGGGGAGGCGGGUCUUUCUCUCUCAUGGGGGAGGUGGGCCUUUCUCAUGGGGGAGGCGGGUCUUUCUCCGUCAUGGGGGAGGCGGGUCUUUCUCUGUCAUGGGGGAGGCGGGUCUUUCUCUGCCUUGAGGGAGGCGGGUCUUUCUCUGUCAUGGGGGAGGCGGAUCUUUCUCUGCCAUGGGGGAGGCGGGUCUUUCUCUGUCAUAGGGGAGGCGGGUCUUUCUCUGUCAUGGGGGAGGCGGAUCUUUCUCUGCCAUGGGGGAGGCGGAUCUUUCUCUGUCACGGGGGAGGCGGGUCUUUCUCUCUCAUGGGGGAGGCGGAUCUCUCUCUGCCAUGGGGGAGGCGGGUCUUUCUCUGUCACGGGGGAGGCGGGUCUUUCUCCGUCAUGGGGGAGGCGGGUCUUUCUCUGUCAUGGGGGAGGCGGGUCUUUCUCUGCCUUGAGGGAGGCAGGUCUUUCUCUGUCAUGGAAUAGGCGGGUCUUUCUCUGUCAUGGGGGAGGCGGAUCUUUCUCUGUCACGGGGGAGGCGGUUCUUUCUCCAUCACGGGGGAGGCGG
rnacentral:lncRNA from 1 species